rnacentral:lncRNA from 1 species
AUGGAGGUAUACGGCUUCAGCGACUCCUUCAGUGGGGUGGACUCCGUGCAGGAGCUGGCCCCGCCGCCCGCCCUACCCCCCAAGCAGCGGCAGCUCAGGCCUCCUGUGCUGCUUCUUCCUUCUCCUCUGUCUCCCACUGUGUCCAGCAAACUAAAGUGGCCUUCACCCCCGAGGACGGCAGUGCCGCUCAGGGCCUCAGUGUGUCCGUCUCUAACUCCUUUCUCAGCCGGCACGGCAGCUUGCCCGUGCCCUCGAGCCACCGGCUGGGAAAGACGGACAUCCCAGAGAUCCCUCAGCGGUCAGCGGCGUCCCUGGGAAGGACAGCAGAGACGGCAGUGAGAGGCCCCAAAGUCACCAGAUGCUCUGGAGUCGGC